UGUCCCUACGGGGGCAGCAGUGGGGAAUAUUGGACAAUGGGGGAAACCCUGAUCCAGCGACGCCGCGUGAGUGAAGAAGUAUUUCGGUACGUAAAGCUCUAUCAGCAGGAAAGAAAAUGACGGUACCUGACUAAGAAGCCCCGGCUAACUACGUGCCAGCAGCCGCGGUAAUACGUAGGGGGCAAGCGUUAUCCGGAUUUACUGGGUGUAAAGGGGGCGCAGACGGCAGCGCAAGCCAGGAGUGAAAGCCCGGGGCCCAACCCCGGGACUGCUCUUGGAACUGCGCGGCUGGAGUGCAGGAGGGG
rnacentral:rRNA from 1 species